AGAACGAACGUUGGCGGCGUGGAUGAGGCAUGCAAGUCGAACGUGAAAGCCGCAAGGCGAGUAAAGUGGCGGACGGGCGAGUAACACGUAAUCAAGCUGCCUGCGAGACGGGAUAACCUGGGAAACCGAGGCUAAGACCCGAUGGCCUCCAGAGACCGCAUGGUCAUUGGAGUAAAUGGACGGGAUCCGUUUGGGACCGCUGCUCGCAGAGGUGAUUGCGGCCCAUCAGCUAGUUGUAGGUAACGGCCUACCAGGCUACGACGGUAGCCGGCUUAGAGGGUGUCGGCCGCACUGGGACUGAGACACGGUCCAGACUCCUACGGGAGCAGCAGUGGGAAUUUGCGCAAGUGGACUAACGCCUAGACGCAGACAACGCCGCGUGGAGGAUGAAGGUCUUUGGAUUGUAAACGUCC
rnacentral:rRNA from 1 species